rnacentral:rRNA from 1 species
AUCCUGGCUCAGAUUGAACGCUGGCGGCAGGCCUAACACAUGCAAGUCGAGCGGCAGCACGGGUACUUGUACCUGGUGGCGAGCGGCGGACGGGUGAGUAAUGCCUAGGAAUCUGCCUGGUAGUGGGGGAUAACGUCCGGAAACGGGCGCUAAUACCGCAUACGUCCUACGGGAGAAAGUGGGGGAUCUUCGGACCUCACGCUAUCAGAUGAGCCUAGGUCGGAUUAGCUAGUUGGUGAGGUAAUGGCUCACCAAGGCGACGAUCCGUAACUGGUCUGAGAGGAUGAUCAGUCACACUGGAACUGAGACACGGUCCAGACUCCUACGGGAGGCAGCAGUGGGGAAUAUUGGACAAUGGGCGAAAGCCUGAUCCAGCCAUGCCGCGUGUGUGAAGAAGGUCUUCGGAUUGUAAAGCACUUUAAGUUGGGAGGAAGGGCAGUUACCUAAUACGUAAUUGUUUUGACGUUACCGACAGAAUAAGCACCGGCUAACUCUGUGCCAGCAGCCGCGGUAAUACAGAGGGUGCAAGCGUUAAUCGGAAUUACUGGGCGUAAAGCGCGCGUAGGUGGUUUGUUAAGUUGGAUGUGAAAGCCCCGGGCUCAACCUGGGAACUGCAUCCAAAACUGGCAAGCUAGAGUAUGGUAGAGGGUGGUGGAAUUUCCUGUGUAGCGGUGAAAUGCGUAGAUAUAGGAAGGAACACCAGUGGCGAAGGCGACCACCUGGACUGAUACUGACACUGAGGUGCGAAAGCGUGGGGAG